GACGAACGCUGGCGGCGUGCUUAACACAUGCAAGUCGAACGGUGAAGGGGUCUGCUUUUGUGGGCCCUGGAUGAGUGGCGAACGGGUGAGUAACACGUGAGUAACCUGCCCCCUUCUUCUGGAUAACCGCAUGAAAGUGUGGCUAAUACGGGAUAUUCUGGGUCUGUCGCAUGAUGGGUCUGGGAAAGAUUGCGCCUUUGGGUGUUUUUGGUGGGGGAUGGGCUCGCGGCCUAUCAGCUUGUUGGUGGGGUGAUGGCCUACCAAGGCGGUGACGGGUAGCCGGCCUGAGAGGGGGGACGGUCACACUGGGACUGAGACACGGCCCAGACUCCUACGGGAGGCAGCAGUGGGGAAUAUUGCACAAUGGGCGCAAGCCUGAUGCAGCGACGCCGCGUGAGGGAGGGAGGCCUUCGGGUUGUAAACCUCUUUCGCCAGUGAAGCAGGCCUGCUCCUUGUGGGUGGGUUGACGGUAGCUGGAGAAGAAGCGCCGGCUAACUACGUG
rnacentral:rRNA from 1 species